GACGAACGCUGGCGGCGCGCCUAACACAUGCAAGUCGAGCGGAGAUACUUGAAGGAAGUUUUCGGAUGGAAUUUGAGUAUUUUAGCGGCGGACGGGUGAGUAACGCGUGAGUGACCUGCCUUCCACAGGGGGAUAACGUACCGAAAGGUACACUAAUACCGCAUGAGACCACAGCACUGCCUGGUGCAGGGGUCAAAGGAGCAAUCCGGUGGAAGAUGGACUCGCGUCCGAUUAGAUAUUUGGUGGGGUAACGGCCUACCAAGUCAGCGAUCGGUAGCCGACCUGAGAGGGUGAUCGGCCACAUUGGACCUGGGAGACGGGCCAAACUCCUACGGGAGGCGGCAGUGGGGAAUAUUGGGCAAUGGGGGAAACCCUGACCCAGCGACGCCGCGUGAGGGAAGAAGGUUUUCGGAUUGUAAACCUCUGUUCUUGGUGAAGAGGGAAAGACGGUAGCCAAGGAGGAGCCCCGGCUAACUACGUGCCAGCCGCCGCAGUAA
rnacentral:rRNA from 1 species